rnacentral:lncRNA from 1 species
UUUUAUUUCCAGGGAAUGGAAAUUGAAGUUGGGCAUAGGAGAAGGUUGAGGAGAGGCAGUCUGUUUUGAUGCAUUAAUGGCGGCAGGGAAAGAAGUGGGGAAGCAAGAGGCUUUCUGUAGUGGAGAAGCCACAAGGCCUUGUGUUGGUCUUGGAUUAUUGGUGACAGAUGAAGUUACAAUAUGAUCCAAAUUGGAAGAAGCUUUGGAGGUGGAGGAAGUGGGGAAGCAAGAGGCUUUCUGCUCUGGAAAAACCACUAGGCCUUCUGUUGGUCUUUGAGUGUUGCUGACAGGUGAAGCUACAAUACAGUUCAAAUUGGGUGAAGCUUUGGAGGUGGAAGAAGUGGGGAAGCAAGAGGCUUUCUGCGGUGGAGAAACCACAAGGCCUUGUGUUGGUCUUGGAUUGUUGGUGACAGAUGAAGUUACAAUAUGGUCCAAAUUGAGUGAAGCUUUGGAGGUGGAGGAAGUGGGGAAGCAAGAGCCUUUCUGCGGUGGAGAAACCACAAGGCCUUUUGUUGGUCUUGGAUUGUUGGUGACAGGUGAAGCUACAAUGUUGGAACAGGAUUCUGUUGGGGAAGGAAGCAGGGGAUAAGCCUGGUGAUUCUG